GAUGAAGAACGUAGCGAAAUGCGAUAAGUAGUGUGAAUUGCAGAAUUCAGUGAAUCAUCGAAUCUUUGAACGCACAUUGCGCCCCUUGGUAUUCCAUGGGGCAUGCCUGUUCGAGCGUCAUUUGUACCUUCAAGCUUUGCUUGGUGUUGGGUGUUUGUCUCGCCUUUGCGUGUAGACUCGCCUUAAAAUAGUUGGCAGCCGGCGUAUUGAUUUCGGAGCGCAGUACAUCUCGCGCUUUGCACUCAUAACGACAGCGUCCAAAAGUACAUUUUACACUCUUGACCUCGGAUCAGGUAGGGAUACCCGCUGAACUUAAGCAUAUCAAUAAGCGGAGGA
rnacentral:misc_RNA from 1 species